ACGCCGGCCGCGCCGGAUCCGCCGGCGCCGCCGUUGCCGCCGGCGCCGCCGUUGACGCCGGCCGCGCCGGAUCCUCCGGCGCCGCCGUU
rnacentral:tRNA from 1 species